UACGAAGGGUGCAAGCGUUGCUCGGAAUCACUGGGCGUAAAGGGUGCGUAGGCGGGUCUUUAAGUCAGGGGUGAAAUCCUGGAGCUCAACUCCAGAACUGCCUUUGAUACUGAGGAUCUUGAGUUCGGGAGAGGUUGGUGGAAUUCCGAGUGUAGAGGUGAAAUUCGUAGAUAUUCGGAGGAACACCAGAAGCGAAGGCGGCCAACUGGCCCGAUACUGACGCUGAGGCGCGAAAGCGUGGGGAGCAAACAGG
rnacentral:rRNA from 1 species